GCCACUUUAAGCUCGGCCCAGUCCGCAUCAGGGAAUCGGAGGGAAGGGCUCUGCUGAACUGGACGGGACCGGCGGAGGGUUUCGACUUCCGGCGUCUUCCCAUGGAGUUGCGGAGGGAAGGGCUCUUCUUCUUCUUCUUCUUCUUCUUCUUCCGGAUUUCUGUGUGAGCGUUCUGGAUUUCUGGAUGAGGAUUUCGCGAAUUCCGUUUGUUCCGAAACUUCGAUUGAUCUGCUGUGUUGAAUGCCCUUUCCAAUUUGAUGUGGAGGAUUCGCUUUUGGAAAUGGGUUGCAUGAAGAUAAAGGAAUGCAGUUAGAUUAUCUUGUCUCCUUUAUCAAAUUUGCCCUUGGAAUUUGUCCUAGCAAACGAUAUUAGUGGAAUCAGGUUACGAUCUAUUUGGAUAGAAGGAAUGAGAGACAUGGAGUGUGAUCGAAGGGCUAUUUAGUUAUCAUCAUGAGAGGGGAAGACUGUAUUAGAUUGCGAGAUCCCUAACGAUAAAAUGACCAUCUAGGAUAGUGAUGAUCGUCUUCCAGAUACAACCUUUAAUUAUAUUUGUAUAUGUACUUUUUCCUCUUUAUGAAAUCUAAAUAUUAUUCUUCGCAUGUAAUUUGAGGCAUUUGCUUCUUCAAAGUCAAAUAGGCUAUGAUGAAAUUAGAUGUAACCUCAUUAGACUGUUGAAAAUCUAGCAAGUAGUGCUUGAUUGAUUAUGCUGUACUCAAGCAGCGAAUUAUUCUGUUGUCAUCUACAUCCACUUUAAUAUUCAUCACUAAGAACAUCAAGAGAUACCUGCUCUGUAACUUCAGCUUGUGAUAUCUGCACAAGACUAUAGUCACAUCGAGAGAUACCUGCUCUUUAAUAUUCAUCACAAAUGAUGUUGUUGGAUCGUCCGAUUAUGGUACUUUAGCCACAAAACCUCAUCUAGAAUUGGGCUUUGUCGAAAAGUCAACUCUAUGAGUUUGUUUAAUCUACCUCGAUCAACUUGUUACUUGUACUGCGAUAGUCUCCUUACCAUUUGAUCAUCUCUCUUAAAAUAAAGUUCAAAGCAAGCACCUUAUGCUUUCUUUUUUUGUUUCAUAUAUAGUUUAUACUUCAUUGACCUAAUCAUUCUAGAGAUUAUAGCUUCAUAUCAAGUCAUAGAGCACAUUGAUUCAUAUGCCCUAUUUUUCAUCUUAACUUAGAUUUAUUUUUUUUCCUUGUGCAAAAAAUAUUUAUUUUUUAUAAAAAAAAUUUCUUGUGUCAAUAUUGCCAAAAGUGUCUCUCUGUAUGUGGAGGUAAAACUGCUGGUCUAUCCGAUACCUUGCAAAUGCAAGAGCCUUAUACAUUGGGUUCCACUUAUUUCUUGUGUCUAGAUCAGACAUAUCGCCGAAGCUGCCUUAAUAUGACUACGUGCAGAAGAAUCUCAGUAAGCAUUCUGCCUGUGAAAAUUAGGCUGCCUGGUCGAGAUCAUCUACUUAUUAUGAUUCAGUGGCAUUGUAACUGAGGUGAAAGAAAAUGAUGGUAAUCGAUGAAAGUGUUCCUGAGAUAUUUACGUUCAGACAAUUUUUUAUGAUUUAAGAACAAGUACCAUUCUCCCAGAAUCCAAGAGCAUCGGACAAAUCUGAUCCAUGGUUGGAAGCGAGAUGAUGGUGCCUGAUGGAAUUGUCAACAGGUCUUGGUUUUAGUGAUCAAGACUCGAGAGAGCAGCAAAUCCGAUGAAGUAGAGAACAAGUUGAUGUUUUGUGAUAGAGUAUCAUGCUCAUACGCCGAAGAGCUGCAUCUCCCAGAUCAAAUUGAUGAUGUGCCUUUUUGCCUUGCGUCACAGGUGAAUUGUUCUGUCCUACCUGUUCUUAUCAGUAAUAGUUACUGUCUCAUCUAUUUUUUCAUUAAAAAUAAUUAGAAAAAAUUUAUUACAUAGAAUGACGUAUGUGACGCUCGUCCGAGGAGACUGUUUUAUCUAUUUCAAUGUAUAAUUGGCUUCUCAUGUGUGUGCCAAGUUCAGAUUUAUAUUUUGUUCUCAUGGGACUCAGAACAUGAGACCUAUUACUUAUACAGUAAUGUACUAACCAA